AACGUAGGUGGCAAGCGUUAUCCGGAUUCACUGGGCGUAAAGCGCACGCAGGCGGCGCGGUUGGUAGGGCAUGAAACCUCCCGGCUUAACUGGGAGACGCUGUCCUAUACCGCCGCGCUUGAGGCUGGAAGAGGGAAGUGGAAUUGCCGGUGUAGUGGUGAAAUGCGCAGAUAUCAGGAGGAACACCAAUGGCGAAGGCAGCUCACUGGGACGGUAUUGACGCUGAGACGCGAAAGCGUGGGGAGCAAACAGG
rnacentral:rRNA from 1 species